GAUGAACGCUGGCGGCGUGCUUAACACAUGCAAGUCGAACGAAGUGUCUAUUCAAAGUUCUUCGGGAUGGAGAAUAAAUUACUGAGUGGCGGACGGGUGAGUUACGCGUGGGUAACCUGCCUCACACAGGGGGAUAACAGUUGGAAACGACUGCGAAUACCGCAUAAGACCACAGCACCGCAUGGUGCAGGGGUGAAAGAUGUAUCGGUGUGGGAUGGACCUGCGUCGGAUUAGAUAGUUGGUGGGGUAGAAGCCUACCAAGUCAAGGAUCAGUAGCCGACCUGGGAAGGUGAUCGGCUACAUUGGGGAUACGACACAGACCACACUCGGACGCGGGGCAGCAGUGGGGAAUAUUGGACGAUGAAGGCAAACGUGGUACAGCAACGCCGGGUGAGUGGAGAAGUGUUUCGGUAUGUGCAGCUCUAUCAGAAGGGGAGAAAAUGACGGUACCUGACUAAGAAGCCCCGGCUAACUACGUG
rnacentral:rRNA from 1 species